UACGAAGGUGGCAAGCGUUACUCGGAAUUACUAGGCGUAAAGGGCAGGCAGGCGGUUUGAUGAGUCUGUUGUGAAAGCUCCCGGCUUAACUGGGAGAGGUCAACAGAUACUGUCGAACUUGAGUAUGGGAGAGGGUACUGGAAUUCCUGGUGUAGCGGUGAAAUGCGCAGAGAUCAGGAGGAACACCGAUGGCGAAAGCAGGUACCUGGACCAUUACUGACGCUCAGCUGCGAAAGCUAGGGGAGCAAACAGG
rnacentral:rRNA from 1 species